CUAGGAGUAGAAUUAAAAGGAUUUAUAAAAACAAAUUUCGCGGAAAUACACUUGCCAAAGCAAAAUAAUUUGAAAGGAUGCGGUUCGAUUACUAACGGAAAAUUCAAAAUACCGAUUUUUUUUCAAAUAUUUUCGAACAAGAAUUAUAAAGAUCUUAAUAUACAAAAAGGAGAUAAAAUAUCAGUAACUGGAAAUAUGCAUACUGGAAAAAGUCGCACUGGUGUUUCAUAUCCUCCACGUUUAUAUGUAGAUAAUAUAUAUGCUAUA